rnacentral:rRNA from 1 species
CCUACGGGGGGCAGCAGUGGGGAAUAUUGGACAAUGGGGGGAACCCUGAUCCAGCCAUGCCGCGUGUGUGAAGAAGGCCCUCGGGUUGUAAAGCACUUUCAGUGAGGAAGAACGCCUGGUGGUUAAUACCCAUCAGGAAAGACAUCACUCACAGAAGAAGCACCGGCUAACUCCGUGCCAGCAGCCGCGGUAAUACGGAGGGUGCGAGCGUUAAUCGGAAUUACUGGGCGUAAAGCGCGCGUAGGUGGCUUGAUAAGCCGGUUGUGAAAGCCCCGGGCUCAACCUGGGAACGGCAUCCGGAACUGUCAAGCUAGAGUGCAGGAGAGGAAGGUAGAAUUCCUGGUGUAGCGGUGAAAUGCGUAGAGAUCGGGAGGAAUACCAGUGGCGAAGGCGGCCUUCUGGACUGACACUGACACUGAGGUGCGAAAGCGUGGGUAGCAAACAGGAUUAGAUACCCUAGUAGUC